CCUUAGUGGGAUCCACAGCCCUGAGCAAGGAGCCUCAGAAUGGCAGCCAGAAAAGGCAACAUGCUGGGAGGAAGCUGCUUAAAGCAGCCACUGCUAAGGAAAAGGGUGUGCCUUCAGCCGUACCCCUCUCCAGGCUCCUUGCUCAGUGCUAGUGGCUCAUUUCUCUUUCCAUGUGGGAUUAGCUGCCUGGAGCACUCUUUUAAAGGUAGCUGCUGAGCCCGAAGUGCACACCCAUCUUCCUGCCUUUUUGAAGGUCUCCCUGCUCCAGGAUCUAUCUCAUCUUUUGUCCAGGAAGCUGCAUUUGCAAAGAGCACACAGCAACAUGCAGUACCCUAAAAGAUGUGUGUGAAGGAGUGAGCAAGAUUCAUUUCCCUAAAUCUUCUGGGCAACCCAAUGCCUAAGGGAAUCCCAGGGAGGGAGGACAGAGCCUGGGCCACACUCCAGUUUCUCCAUCCAGCCCUGCGCAGAGGCAUGAGGCGAACUGGAAGCUCCUCAGACGCCCCGUCCCCAUCCCCUGCCCUUCACCAGCACGGGCAGAAGGAUGUCCAAGUGCUCAGACAAUGGUGGAGGAAGCGGCUCUGGCUGCGUUUCCCUUCUGCUCCCUGGGGAGUCGGGGGAGCACACAAGCCAGGGCCAGAUUUAGCUCUUGGAUCCACAUGAAACAUCUCUGUGCCGACUGCUCCCUUCCUUCGUGCUCAGCCUCUUGUCACGGGAGUGGAAGUCGCGCACACACACACACGGGGAACAGAAAAGCCGAGUCAAUAUGCAGCAGGCAGAGCCGGGAACACAAUGCGGGCAAAACAAAGAGCGGGGCUGUAUGUACUGCCUUCCCGGUGGCAUUCACUUCUCGUGCUUGGAGCCGGUUUCCUCUUUUCAUGAGCCUCUUGACCUGCAGAUCCCUCUCCUCGGCAGACAGACCCCAAAGCCCCACGGCUGGAUCCUUAUGCCUCUUCAGAUCAAACCAGCGAAACACUUUGAACACAGAGCCUGAACUGUGUGUUUGCAUCGAGGCUUUAAGCUCCUUGGCGCUGGCGCCCGGGGUUCCUAUUUGUUUUCCAACUCCCGAGGACAGCAAUGGUGCUCUCCAAGUCAAUACAAACAAACCAAGAGAGGCUCGAGGCAGCGCGGCAGAGCUCACCCCAGCGCCGUCCCCGGGACUCUGGCCCGUGGAAGGAGACUCUGGCACCGAUUUGGGCUGUCAGCUCAGGCCAGCACCCCCAAAAUCUCACACACCGAAAUCUGGCAGAACAAGGAACUUGCUCAAAAGAAGGGCAUCGGUUGCCCCGUCUGUGCCACCGAGACACCCAGCUUUGGAGGGAGGCACUGUGACAGCUGCUGUAAAACCCCAGCAGGUUUUCGAAGCCCGCUCUUAGUGAUGGAUUUUCAAGCCCCCUCUUUCUCCAGGCACUCUCAGGUUGCAGAGUGCGUGGGUGCAGGUGGAGGCGUUGGGGCCUCUCACUCAAUUCAUUUCCACAGCUGGGCCUUUGGGUGCUGAUGUACGCACGAGCGGUCCGCAAGCAGACGUUUGAAAAGGCACUGAGAAAGGGUGUACCCGCCGGGCACAAGGCGGGAGACCCCUCUGAGCCUGCGUUCAUCUUUCAGGCAACUCUAUCCUGUGGCAUCCGACCGUUCCGUAGGCUCAGUUAAGCAUUAGUACAGCAGGGCUGUGCACAUUGUGUGACGGCUUUGCGGAAGCGGAGUUGUGAAACGGAUGCCUUCUGUAGCCGCCGUGACCUUAAAACCCACUGCUCAGUCACCCAGCAGAAAAAAAUCGGGAGAAUUCCUUCCGAACAGCCGAGUGCUGGUGCCCUUCGGGAGCUGGCUUUUCCUCUUUGGCUAGCCAGAGCUUCCGCCAGCCAGGACUGUCUCACCGCACUGUGUCAGCUGAGAUUCAGGAAUUUGUCUCAGCUACAUCUGAUACCUAAACCUGUAUUUUUCACAGCCUGACAGAGUUUUAAACUCCUCUCCAUCAGCUAUGGGCAGUAGCCCUCAGAGAUGAGCAGUGGCUGUAAUUGAUUCAUCAAGACUCCUGUUAAUUUGUUUUUGCUCAAUUGUUGCAAUAUAUUUGA